UGGAGCCCGUCUGCAGCCCGCAGGGGGAUGACAUGACAUGGAAAGGAAAUGGAAGAGAAAAGGGAAACUGAAAAGAGAAAAGAAAAAAGAAGAUGAGAAAUAAAAUAAAAUGAAAAAUAAAAUAAAUAAAAUAAAACAAAACAAAACAAAACAAAAUAAAAUAAAAUACAAAUAUAUAAAGUUUAUAAAAUCAAUUCAAUAAAUUAAAAUAAAUAAAGUAAAAUCAAUAAAUAAAGUCGCGGCAGCACCGAGGAGCCCAGGGGCGCUGCACAGUGCCCAUGCCCCCUCCCCGCUCUCCUCCCAGCCCCUGGUCCUUCAGUCCCGCAGGUGCCCCCCCUGCCCGGCAGCUGCGUGUUUCCCCCCCCAGCAAGCGGCAGGCCGGGGAGGGCAGCGGGUGCUGCGGCUUUGAAUGCCUGGGCUCACCCAAAGAGGCACCUGAAGUCCUGCCAAGUCGUGCACAUGGCUCAGUGUGUCAGGACACCAGCAGGCAUUGGAGCAGGGGCAGAGACAGAAUCCCCUCCAAUCUUAACCUCUCCAUCUGGGAUCUGCUACUUUUGCACAAGUUGAAAAGAUCCAUGCUCUAGAUGUACGUGAAGCAGUGAUUCAGUGCAGCCUGGGAUCAGCGAGUAGCGGCUAUUGUUCUCCAGAGCCAUGGCUUACAUCCAAAUGCUACACACUGGGUAUGGUAUUUGUAUCAGUGGCGUUUUCAGUCUCAACAUGCAAGAUGAGAAAGUCACUGUUUUAAAUGGUUACUCCUUUGGGAAGGGGAAAUUGAGAAGAUGGACUUCUGAGUAGAGCACUAGUGAGAUGGCACCCUAUCCUCGGUGAUAAAUGGGAGCAUUAACAAGGCUUGGUCGAGAGGAACCCUACAGAUUUAUGGCUUCCUGUCUCCACCAGCAGAUGCCAUUAUGGCUGACAGAACAGAAUGCCUUUCAAGAGGGAACUGGGGUGGGAUUAUGAAGAAGGGGGAAAAAAGCAAGCAGACUCGGGUGUCCAUUUUUAUCCACUGGUCAGAAUUCUCUGAUAGCUUUGAAUAGAGCUGAAACUAUACAGCAAUUGUGUGCUCUCUCCUCCUGUUAUUUAUAACUAAGUUGGUGAAGGUCAUUUAGCAUCUCUUUAGCACAGGAAGAACCCAUAAUAUUUACUGAAAGCAUUUUUGCACACUUGAAAAUUAGAGAUAAUAAAAUGAACAGAUAGCACUGGAGGCUUCCUUGG
rnacentral:lncRNA from 1 species